UCUUUUUUUCUUUUUUCCCUCCAGAAAAAUUUACUUAAAUGCUGCCCAUAAAAUGCAGCCACAGCCAAAUAUAAGGCCUAGUUUCUUCUAGAACCCUAGAAACUUAUUUUGUGUAGUUUUGAAUUAUAAUUCUGCUCUUGAGCAAAAUGGAGCAAAAUGGUUUCAAUCUUUUAAUGCCACUGGUUAGGGCAUGAAAAUGCUCAACAGCAGCAGAGUUGGUUUGUAUUGGGAAAGGAAUAGCUUAACGAAAUGGCUCUGGGAACUUCUGACAGGAAACCAGCAAUAUUAAAUCCAAAUCAAGGCUAGCAUUUCUUUUUAGAAGGAAGCUUGUGUUAUACAUUAAAUGAUUUGAUAGUGUCAUUUAUCACCUACCAAAUGUUCAUCUCACUAAAGUCAUACUAAAAAUUUCUGAAGAAUUUCCUUUCAGAGACAAAACUGAAAUAUUGAAACUGGGAUGUGAGACUGUGUGAAGCAUAUUGCUCUAUAACCACUAUCUAUCUGUGAUGCAAAGACUUCUGACCUGGCCUUUCAUGCAUUGUUACGCAUGAUAUGUAUAAUGCAUGUGUGAUAAUACAUCACAAUAGAAUUACAUUUCAUUCUGCUGACGUCAGAGCUGCACCAAAUAUAAUUACUAAUAAAAUUUUUAUAUAGCCUGGAGUUGUCACAAGAGUUACAGAAUGCCAGAGGUAUUUAUUUCAAGUAAAAUAAAAAUAAGGUGUCCUGCCAUAAUCUUUGCUCUAUUUAGGAACCAGAGAGAAUUUCUCAGAUCAUUGAUUCCGGUCAUUUGCUUUCAGACAACAAAAUAUAUGAUGAACGUAACAAAAUCCAUCAUCAAAUAAAAAUGUAAUUGCAGCUGUCUUCCUGACAAUUCAUUUCCGUUGUCAAUCAUAAAGAGCUGUUUGAAAAUGGCCAAAAUGUGACAAUAAGCACAGGAUUUUCAAGGUAGUCUAGAUGACAUUAAAUGAAAAAAUAAUUUCCUGAACAAGAAAACAAUAUGUAAUUCAGAACUUCAUGCAACCAGCACAGAAUCUUACAUUAAAGCUGUUGUUGUCUCUACAUUUCUGUGCAAAUACACUGAGUUAACAAAUCAGUCAAUCAAACAAACAAACCAACCCCCCAAUACA
rnacentral:lncRNA from 1 species